rnacentral:rRNA from 1 species
GACGAACGCUGGCGGCGUGCCUAAUACAUGCAAGUUGAGCGCUGAAGGUUGGUACUUGUACCAACUGGAUGAGCAGCGAACGGGUGAGUAACGCGUGGGGAAUCUGCCUUUGAGCGGGGGACAACAUUUGGAAACGAAUGCUAAUACCGCAUAAAAACUUUAAACACAAGUUUUAAGUUUGAAAGAUGCAAUUGCAUCACUCAAAGAUGAUCCCGCGUUGUAUUAGCUAGUUGGUGAGGUAAAGGCUCACCAAGGCGAUGAUACAUAGCCGACCUGAGAGGGUGAUCGGACACAUUGGGACUGAGACACGGCCCAAACUCCUACGGGAGGCAGCAGUAGGGAAUCUUCGGCAAUGGACGAAAGUCUGACCGAGCAACGCCGCGUGAGUGAAGAAGGGUGUCGGAUCGUAAAACUCUGUUGGUAGAGAAGAACGUUGGUGAGAGUGGAAAGCUCAUCAAGUGACGGUAACUACCCAGAAAGGGACGGCUAACUACGUG